rnacentral:rRNA from 1 species
GACGAACGCUGGCGGCGUGCCUAAUACAUGCAAGUAGAACGCUGAAGAGAGGAGCUUGCUCUUCUUGGAUGAGUUGCGAACGGGUGAGUAACGCGUAGGUAACCUGCCUUGUAGCGGGGGAUAACUAUUGGAAACGAUAGCUAAUACCGCAUAACAAUGGAUGACACAUGUCAUUUAUUUGAAAGGGGCAAUUGCUCCACUACAAGAUGGACCUGCGUUGUAUUAGCUAGUAGGUGAGGUAAUGGCUCACCUAGGCGACGAUACAUAGCCGACCUGAGAGGGUGAUCGGCCACACUGGGACUGAGACACGGCCCAGACUCCUACGGGAGGCAGCAGUAGGGAAUCUUCGGCAAUGGGGGCAACCCUGACCGAGCAACGCCGCGUGAGUGAAGAAGGUUUUCGGAUCGUAAAGAUCUGUUGUAAGUCAAGAACGGGUGUGAGAGUGGAAAGUUCACACUGUGACGGUAGCUUACCAGAAAGGGACGGCUAACUACGUG